AUGCCUAUGACAAGUUCUGGUGACCGGAAAUCAGUGCUGUGGACUAAAAUCAAGCUGUUGGCAAGGCUGUGCUCCCUUCAGGGGCUCCAGGGUGGAAUCCAUGUCUUGCCUUUUCCUGCAUGGAGAGCUACAUUUCUUGGCUCAUGGUGCCCAUCUGUCUUCAAAGUCAAAGUAGGACAUUUCCGACACCCACCAAAAAAGAGUGGGAAUCCACAAACCACUAGAGAAAAAUAGAGAUUUUACUGAAGAUUUUGAACAGAAGAUUAAAGAGACACUUGUGAUUAUACCGAACCUACCGGAAUAAUCCAGGACAAUCUCACCAAUUCAAGAACCUUAAUUUAAUCACAUCUACAAAGUCCUUCAUUGCAGGUAAGGUAACAUAUUUACACUUUGGGGGAUUAGGAAGUGAGUAUUUUUUAGGACUGUUAUUCUGCCUACUACACAAGAAUAGCAUAAAAUAUUCUUAAUUUUUUUAUUUUUUAUUUUCAUAGAUUCAGGGGCUACAUGUGCAGGUUUGUUACAUGGAAAUAUUGGAUAGUAUCGGGGUUUGGACUUCUAGUGUACCCAUCACCUGAAUAGUGAACAUUGUACCCAAAGGGUAAUUUUUCCACCUUCAGGCCAAGCAUGGUAGCUCAUGACUGUAAUCCCAGUGUUUUGGGAGGCCGAGGUGGGUGGAUCACUUGAGGUAAGGAGUUCGAGACCAGCCUGACCAACAUGGUGAAACCCUGUCUCUACUAAAAAUACAAAAAUUAGCCGGGCGUGGUGGCACAGGCCUGUAAUCCCAGCUACUCGGGAGGCUGAGGCAGGAGAAUUGCUUCAACUUGUGAGGCAGAGGUUGCAGUGAGCCGAGACUGUGCCACCGCACUCCAGCCUGGGAGACAGAGCGAGACUCCGUCUCAAACAAAACAAAACAAAUUUCCACCUUCAGCAUGAACUAUUCUAUCUUAUAUCAUGACUAUAAUUGUAAUGCUCAUUACAUUGUUAUUUUUCUUAC
rnacentral:lncRNA from 1 species